CUGGCACGUGGCAGCAUGGCCACCCUGGGCUGAGGGCAGCAUCGCCCUGACACGGCCUCCUGCCUUGCCCUGCCAAUGUUUAUUUUGCUUGGGUAAACGUUUGAUUUUAGCAACACGACUGCAAUGUGUGAGUUGUGCUGGGGCUGUAAUUCGAUGGGAGGAGGCAGCUAUGUGCAGGGAGAGCUGCUAAUGCCGAAGGAAUGCUGCGCUUCCUCGGGACCAGAGAAGAUGGCGCCUGGGGCCCCUGGGGACAGCUCAGCUCCUUGGCCCUGCUGUCACCCUGCGCCCGGGAGCUGAGACCCAAAGUGGGGUCUUGCCUUGCUCAGGGCCCUUGUGGCCCAAAUGGAUGUGAUUUCUGAGGGAAAACUGGGUGUUUCACUUAUUGCAAUGAGGCUCCCACCCAGGACUGGAGGAGGGCUAUGAGGUGCCGUGGGGCUCCUGACCAGGCUGGGUCAGACAGGAAGGAGGCACCCAGUCAAGCUUAGGAAUGGCUUUUAUUCAUGUUUCCAAGGAAAAUUGAGGUCUUCUUUCUGCAUGUGCCACAGGGUGACAAUCAGGAUGGCAAGACGGGGUGUCCUGUCAGGACAGCAAGGUGAGAGUAGGGAGGAGAGGUACUGUCCCUCACCCAUGGAUGUCAGUGAUGGCCUAAGUGGUUUGUAAUUCACAUUUCUUUGCUAAAAUGCUGCUGAUGCUCCAGUUAAGCCAGCAGGCACCAGUGCCAGCUCCUGAGCCUCCUCACCAUGGCAGGGGUGAGGAGAUGACAGCUCCCCACUAAGCAGAUGGCCCUGUUGGAUGGACUUUGUCGCUGGGCUGGCAGCAAAAUACCUCCUUGGAGAAUUAAAGCUCCAGCUGUGAUGUCACCUUGCCAGAAGUGGCCCCCAGGAGUGACCCCAUUAGUCAUGAGCACACGACUGGGGUGAAGCUGUCACUAAACCUCUAAGGAAAGACCGUCUGAGGCACUGGGUAUUAACAGGUUUUAUUUCCCCCAGCCACCCUUCUCAGCACUCAGUCUUCAUGCCAGUAGCCAGGGGAUUUAAGUGAAGGAGAUGAGAUGCAGAGCUGGAGGGGUUUAGGAGAUUCAAGCUGUCCAUCAGGCCUCAGAUUUAUUCAACCCCCUUCAUAAACUCCAGGAACUCUGCCAAGGGGAAGACAUUGGAGACAAGAGGUGUGAGGUGAGACCAAAGUGCCCUCGCAGCUGCCAAGUGCGCUCUUGGCAGUUUUCCCCAGCCCUGUCUCCUUUUCCAACCCCCCAGCGUGCAAGAGGCCGAGGGUGGAUGGCUACUGCUCCUCUGACUGUGGCGAGGACUCCUCGUGACUCCUGCUGGAAAUGUCACUGGAGCCCUGCGUCACCCUCGGCUGCCACCAAAACACUGGAGCAUGAUCUUCAGCUCCUCGAGGUCGAUGUAGCCAUCAGCGUUUCUGUGAGGGGACAGAAGAGCUCAGGAGCAGACAGACACACUGGGGAGAGGGAGUCGGGGUGGUUGCACCCCUCCCAAAACCCUGCCACGGUCAUAGCUCUUACUUAUCAAACAUCCUGAAGAGGUCUGAGAGUUCCUCUUCGGUUUUUCCUUUGCUGUCAUCUUUCAUACACCGGACCAUCAUAACAAGGAACUCAUCGAAGUCUACGGUGCCACUGCCUGCAGGCAGAAUAGACACCAUCAGCUGGUGCCACGGUGAGUGGAUGGGCAACACCAAGGAGGGAUCACACUUCCCUUUGGCAACCAAGAAUCAAAACACAGGAGAGCAGCUCUGCAGCAAGAGGCAGUUUUCAAGACAUGGGAGGCCCUGCUCUGACUUCAUCACUGAAUUUUUACCUUUUGCAGUCUUUUUGCCUUGGCAAAAAUCCUUUUAGAAGCACUGAUGAAUGGAAAUUCCUGCUAUGGAGGUACCUGUCCAUCUCACCCAGGUACUGCUUACCUAAAAUUGCUGACCUCACCACCGUGUCCAACUGCCCCUUUUACAGCAUCCAUGAAAACACUGACCCUUCCUAUGCUGGUCAACAGCCUCUCUGGAGCCAGCCAGGGACAGGUUUCUCUGGCUGAAAUGUGGGAAGGCAAGCUCUGAGCUCGGAGGUCACAGCACUGCAGCAGCCGUGGUAACACCAAAUCUUCUGUAUUUUGCUUUUAUCAGCUAUCCUCUCCAUCUAUCCCACGGUUCCAUUUGACGUCAGAUAGGGGAAAUUGAAAUUCUUCAAAUUUUUUUUCCAGGAAACUGGGACUCACUUCACCCAACCAGCAAGAUGACCUGUCCCCACUGCAAAUGGCUAAAAUUCACACUCCUGGAUUUACCGUGGAUUUACCCCUCCACGGUGGAAAGCAAAACACACCAAAAACCUCCAAGUGAUGAGCAGCGUUUUCUCAGUCCGGGAAAAAGCGAUUUAAUCCAGCAACAGAAGUCAAACCUCUCCUUUUAGUGAUUCAGGACUCCCUCUUGUGUCCAGAGGGGCUAUGGAUGGCUCCAGCACCUCAGGAUACAAAGUCCCACCCCUAGCUGGCUCAUACCAGCGUUAGUUAGCAAAACAGAAAAUAAUAUUGGUGCAGCUGUUAGGUUUCAUCCUUUCUAAAAUCCCUUCUCCGUUUAAGAGGAAUCAUACUGCGUGGAAAAACCUGCUGUCCCUGUGGAAUUCCCAGCCAAAGCAGCUUUAAUCAGAGACCCUGCUGGUGUCAGCACAAAGUGAGGACAUGGGUGAACACAGAGCUGUCUCCACACCACAUCCUCCCAGGUUUUGAGUCCUGAAGGAUUAACUUGUUAGGAACUGUGGUCCUGUGGGUACCCACUGGCCUUGAUUUACACAGCUGCAGCCCAGAUCUGCCUCCAGAUGGAAUAGCAAGGAAAAUAGUUGCGUUUAAGGAAUUAAUUUUUGAAGCAGUUAGUCUUGAGAAUUGGAACAUGUUAAUAUUUUGGUUGCCUUGAACACAGAAGAAGCAGGAAAAGCUGCAAAGGGAAGUAGUUAUUUUGUUAAAGCACAUUGGAUCCUGUCCUUAGGUGAGGGCACAGGACGGGAUGAAGGACCUGCUGUCACCCACAAUUAAAUCAUCCCUCAGAACCUCCUGGGCAAGCUCAUAGAGACUUUCCCAGUGAAGUGCUGCCCCAAAGCAAACCCAUGCCCCUGGCUGCUUUCUCCCCUCAGGAUUCACUGCAGGUGCCAGCACUGGGCAGUACAAGUGUGAGGAAUCACGCCUGGCCCUGGCCCUCUGUCCUGGGAGGUGAUGGCUCUGAGUCACCCCUCUGAAAACAGCCCCUGGGAUGCGUCAGAAUGUAUCCAGGGCCAAUGUAGAGCGGGAAUGGGAGCUCUAACAUGGCCUUUAAAAGGUUGUGGCUGCGCUGCUGGAGCAGCUGGGUUGAAAUUCAGGUCGGGAUGAGGAAGAAGGGUCUCUGUCUGCUUAGAGGAAAUCUGGGCCACUGCCACCAUACACACUGACGUGGGAUGGCUGCACUUCUGCAAAUGUCUGAUACGAACAGGGACUUACAAAACAGAGCUGUGCCUGGAGGGAAAGGAUGAAAUCCAUCUGGUGACAGGAGAUGAUGUUCCUCCCAGGGAAGGAGGCACAGGCGAGGGGCAUCGUGCCAACUGCUGCCUCCUCGCCUGCUGCUUGGAGCCAAAGCUUCCAGCAUCCCCUGUCUCUUCGAAGUUCUUUGCUUACAAAAGAACUGGUGUUUUGUAGAGAAACCCAGAGCCUCUGCCAUGCACAGGGCAGGGGGAGGAAGCUACAGGUAUGGAGUGUCCUGGGAAUAACCAUCCGCUCCUGCUGCUUCUCUUGCCUCUCUGUGUGAGACCCAGGGCAGAGAUGGAGCGUGGCUAUCUAUAGCCUGGGGAGGGCUGCCAGCUCAAGUGCCCUUAAUCCGGGCAUGGCUGGCUCGGUGGCACGCCAGCUGUCACUGUGGUCAGGUACAGCAUGUCAGCCUGGGCUCCAGCUGCACCCUGACACGCUGCCACACUUGUCAGUCAGUCUAAGGUACCAAGACAAACAGAAGGUUUUACUGUGCUUUUUUCCUCCAAAAUCUCGGAUUAGGUUUGCAUUUCCAAGCAGCUGUAAUCCAGGGCAAAACUCGCAGAGGCAUCCUUCAGGUCAAAUGCAGGGAAAUACAAAGCAGAAGCCCAACUAAGAUGCAAUUUUGUUUGGGGUCAGGGCUGUUUGCAAGGCUCCUUGGUUUCUGUUGUAGUUCCAAGCUGCAGCAAAACUCUCCAGCAUCCCCCUUCCCUGCAUCGGGCACUGGCCCUAGGAGAAGCCAGACCCACACCAUUGAAGUUCUUUAAUUCACUGCUUCCUAAAUUCACCUCAGAGACUUUUUGCUGAACAAGCCCCCAUUUGCCCCCUUUCAUCUUCUCUGUGAGCCAGGACAGGGCUGUCACACCAGGAGCCACCUCUGUGCCUGCAGGCAGGAACUGCUUUAGGAGGAGGAGAAGGGAACUGAUGGCAACCGACAGGCGCGCCAGUGCUGCAAAUUGUUAUUUAAUUAAGGAGACGGGACAUUGAGAGGAAGCUUAAUUAAAGUUGCUCUCCAAACCCACUUAUUAUCUCAUGAAGAGGCUGAGCUCAGCAGCAGCUCCUGAUGCUGGGACAGCAACAGAAAAUCCCUCUUGGUUUGCCUGCACUACAUGUGUUUUCUCCUGGCACACAUCAUCCUUCGGCUACAUCCUGACCAACAGAAAGCAUUUUUCAGUGAAAAUAAAAUCAA